rnacentral:rRNA from 1 species
UAAUACAGAGGGUGCAAACGUUGCUCGGAAUUAUUGGGCGUAAAGCGCGUGUAGGCGGUUCAUCAAGUCGGUUGUGAAAGCCCUUGGCUCAACCAAGGAAGUGCGUCCGAAACUGGUGAGCUAGAGUCCUGAAGAGGGUGGCGGAAUGCGCAGUGUAGAGGUGAAAUUCGUAGAUAUUGCGUAGAACACCAGUGGCGAAGGCGGCCACCUGGGAAGCGACUGACGCUAAGACGCGAAAGCGUGGGGAUCAAACAGGAUUAGAUACCCUGGUAGUCCACGCCGUAAACGAUGAGCACUAGGUGUUGCGGGUAUUGACCCCUGCAGUGCCGACGCAAACGCAUUAAGUGCUCCGCCUGGGGAGUACGGCCGCAAGGCUA